rnacentral:rRNA from 1 species
AUUGAACGCUGGCGGCAGGCUUAACACAUGCAAGUCGAACGAGUGGCGGACGGGUGAGUAAUGCUUGGGAAUCUGGCCUAUGGAGGGGGAUAACUACGGGAAACUGUAGCUAAUACCGCGUACCAUAGGAUCAGCCCAAAUGGGAUUAGGUAGUUGGUGGGGUAAAGGCUCACCAAGCCGACGAUCUCGAGCUGGUGUGAGAGGAUGACCAGCCACACUGGGACGGGGACAAGGCCCCGACUCCCACGGGAGGGAGCAGUGGGGAAUAUUUCGAAAUGGGGGCAACCUGACGCAGCCAUGCCGCGUGAAUGAAGAAGGCCUUCGGGUUGUAAAGUACUUUCGGUAGAGAGGCGUUAACUACAGAAGAAGCACCGGCUAACUCCGUGCCAGCAGCCGCGGUAAUUC